UCACAGUGGUCUGUAGAGUCUGCUUGACGCCAGCAAAUGUAACUGGAUCCCAAGCCCCUGCAAGCCAGGAAUUGCAGCCAUGAUCAGCAUGCUGCCGAGAACGCAAACCUUGGCACUGGCCAAAACCAAAUACUCUGAAUCCUCUAUUUAUCUUAUGGCAGGGCUUGGGAAAGGAGGAAAGAGGAGUUCAUCAAAAUGUGAAAAAGAAUGGCUGGGAAAGGCUAGGAGUAAGUAAAUAGAAAUCCAAGAUGCAAAUAAGUCAGUUCUACAACAGAUUUAUGAGACCGGACUUCCAAAAGCUAGAACAGGGGUUUGCAAAAAAGCAAUACUUCAUUCUCCAGUAACCUAGUAACGGGACAGGCACGCACAAAGCAGAUCGCCUUUAUAAAAAGCUUGUGUCAGCAAGGUUGACUUUAGUGGAAUAAAUAAGAAUAAGCUGCUUGGCAGCAGAUCACUGCUGACUAUAAUCUCACAGGUCAGAUUUUCCAAGUUCAUUUCAUAGCUCAUUCAAUACACACAUAACUCCAGCUACCAUUUCUGUCUAGGAAUAAUAUGGGGCACCAUCUUCCACACAGCCUUUGAUGAGGUGUUGGGUUUUUACCUUAAUUUUACAUGGUGUGCAGCUGAAAUAAAUCUGGUCUCUGACUCUAAGGAGCUCAAUUACUUUGCCUGAACUUCUUUUUUUUUCUGUCACUUACAGCCCUUUCCUCCUGUAGAAGCGUACAAAAUGAAGGAUUGAUAGUUUAUUUGACUAAGAAGUUGUUCAUCCUAACUAUUCUAGGAUUUCUAACUUGGGUAGCUUGUGCCUACAACAGUGUGAGCAUUUCACAGAAGAAAAAACAAGUGUAUCGAGGCAGUUAUUUGCCAAAGGUGACAUGAUGAGUCAGCAGCAGAGCCAAGAUUAGAGUACAGCGUUCAGACUGCCCAUCCCACAUGGGGCUCACUAAACCACUGCUCCUCCUGCAGCCUCCAGGGAAUAAAGUUCAUUUAGUUAGGUGGUAAAUGCUCAACUCCUGCCCUUGCACUUCACCUUGUUAUUUAUCUAAGUUUUGGCAGGCAUAAUUGUUUGUUGCCAAGGAAGACUACAGCUCACGAGAAACAACAAAAAAAGCAUUGAUCUUAUCUGUGGAAGAAAGGACACUGCAACAGCAAAGUUUGAGAGAACAAGAUCAGCAGUCUGCACUGGGAAUGGCUCAGAGAAGGCUCAUGGAGCAGAAAGGCUAGUGAGUGCUAAGAGGGCUGGUCUCUGGGAGACUGCAAGCAGCUAAGAACUAUCACCACCAAGCAACCUCUUGAAGACAGCAGAACCCAAGAUGGAGUGAGCACUACAAAGCAGGUGACCACCAGGAAAGAAAAUGUGUGACACCACAUUGGUCUCUGUCAGUGGGGUACUUUCCUACUUGGAAAGAACUUUCCAUGAGAAAGUCUGGAUGGCUGCAGUACAAGUUCUUAUAAUAUCCAGAGCCAAACUGUAAUUUGGUGGUACAUAUAACAUAGUAUGGUAUUAAGUGUGGUAUCUGUUUCUAUAUGUAUUUGAAUGCACAUGGCAGUGCUUUUUUCUGUGAUGGGUGAUGCAGAAAUGCUUGUGCUGGGCAGGAAAUGCAGCCAGAUAUUCUAGGAAGCCUCCAUGUUAGCCUAAGGCAGCUAUAAAAAGAAAAUGGGGUGCUGCUUAGAUGGUUUAAUAGUAAGGACUGAGUUACCAUUACUGGUCAUGUUUCAUCGGCUUUUUGCAUUUCUAUCUCCAAGAAAUAUAAAGGAUUCCCUGAGAGCAGGACACACAAGAAGCUUUAAGCCCUUAGAAUGUAAAUAUUUGUGAAGCAGAUGGUGAGCCCCGAGUAUUAGGGUAAACAUCAAUUUUUCUGUUUUAUUCUCAUAUGCGAGUGUAUUUUAUUCAGACCUUAAUCUUUGUGCUGUGUAACUGCCA
rnacentral:lncRNA from 1 species